GGUUAAGCGACUAAGCGUACACAGUGGAUGCCCUGGCAGUCAGAGGCGAUGAAGGACAUGCUAAUCUGCGAUAAGCGUCGGUAAGGUGAUAUGAACCGUUAUAACCGGCGAUUUCCGAAUGGGGCAACCC
rnacentral:rRNA from 1 species